GAGAGCGCGAGCGAGAGAGGGAGAGCCCGGGAGAAGAGGCUGUGCUGAAUCUUGGUGAUCGGAGGUAGUUUUCUUGCAUGCAAUCAGCGAAUCUGCCUAAGGUUUAUAUAUAUGCUCAAGCCCACCAAGAAGCAGAAAGAAAGGAGAAUGGUAAGGUUUGGUUUGGAGGGAAGCAGACCAGUGAAAGCUAGUAGCCCGAAGGACAAGGAGGUUGUUUAAGAAGAAGGUGGGCUGAUUGAAGAGCAGAGAUACCUGUUAU